AACCGACAUCAGCGAUUCGUUUUGUGAGCCCGCGCCGACGGCGAGGUAAGAGUGCAUCCCCAGCUCGCGCAUCUGCUGCUCGCCAAUGACGCGGGUGAUGACGUUUUUACUGUAGCUGUCUGCCAGUUGGCGCGCCUGAGAGGCGAGGUACGCCGCAUUACAGAUAUUUGGCGGCAUAUUGCCGAGGUCUUUCGC
rfam:Kluyvera intermedia strain CAV1151, complete genome.